rnacentral:rRNA from 1 species
CAAGGAAUAUUGGGCAAUGGGCGAAAGCCUGACCCAGCGACACCGCGUGAAGGAAGAAGGCCCUCGGGUUGUAAACUUCUUUUCCCAGGGAAGAAUAAAAUGACGGUACCUGGGGAAUAAGCCCCGGCUAACUACGUGCCAGCAGCCGCGGUAAUACGUAGGGGGCGAGCGUUAUCCGGAUUUACUGGGCGUAAAGGGGGCGUAGGCGGCUUGUCAAGUCGGACGUGAAAUCUCCCGGCUUAACUGGGAGGGUGCAUUCGAUACUGAUGGGCUAGAGUACAGCAGAGGGAAGUGGAAUUCCCGGUGUAGUGGUGAUAUGCGUAGAUAUCGGGAGGAACACUAGUGGCGAAGGCGGCUUCCUGGGCUGUUACUGACGCUGAGGCCCGAAGGCGUGGGGAGCAAACAGGAUUAGAUACCCUGGUAGUCCACGCAGUAAACGAUGGAUACUAGGUAUGGGGGGUAUCGACCCCCUCCGUGCCGAAGCUAACGCUUUAAGUAUCCCGCCUGGGGACUACGGUCGCAAGACUA